GCCGGUGUGACUCAGUUGGUUGGAGCAUUGUCUGGUACACCAAAACACUGGGUUCGAUUCCUGGUCAGGGCA